CCAGCUGUAUCCCGAAAAUUUCACCGAUAUGUUAUUUCUCCUUUGCUCUCUCACUUUUCUCCCUUGCUCUCUCACUCUGCUCUCUCCCUUUGCUCUCUCACUUUUCUCCCUUGCUCUCUCACUUUCUCCCUUUGCUCUCUCACCGUCUCCCUCGUCUUCAACAGGGUUUCCGGGAAUGUCCGACAGAGUUUGCUAUAUCCCUCCUCCAAACCUUGGUUGCGGAUGAAUCGAGUGUAAUUUCAGAACUUCGCAAUCUUGUUGAGCAUUAGCUAAGGUUGCUGCAAAACCGGAUCUUCCGAGCCUUUUUAUGAUUAAUUAUAUUUCACUCGCUAAUCUUGAAGCCAAAGCAAAAGAAUUUACUGAAAUCUCCAAGGAGCAGUUUUAUCCCUGGUUUGCUCACUAUAUGGUCAUGAAGAGGGCUAGCAUCGAGCCGGAUUUCCAUGAUUUGUACUUGAAGUUCCUGGACAGAGUUAAUUCAAAAGCUUUAAGUAAAGAGAUCGUUCAGGCUACUUAUGAGAACUGCAAGGUUCUGUUAGGAUCAGACCUUAUAAAGUCAAGUUCAGAAGAACAUUCAUUGCUUAAGAAUUUGGGAAGCUGGCUUGGGAAACUAACAAUUGGCGGGAACCAAGUGCUGUGAGCCCGUUGAAUAGAUCCAAAAUCUUUGAUAAUUGAGGCAUAUGAAAAAGGGGCUAAUGAUUGCAGUAACGCCAUUUACUUCCAAGAUCCUUGAACCAUGUCAAAGUAGUUUAGCAUACCAACCUCCAAACCCUUGGACCAUGGGCAUUCUUGGACUACUGGCUGAGUUUUAUUCAAUGCCUAACUUGAAAAUGAACCUGAAGUUUGCAUUGAGGUUUUAUUCAAGAAUCUCAAGGUGGAUAUGAAACAAAUAACACCAACUUCUCUUCUCAAAGAUGGGAAGAGAGAAAUUGAUGGCAAUCCUGAUUUUUUGAACAAAGACAUUGGAGCAUCUCAGACACAAUUGGCAGCCGAAGUGAAAUUCGGCAUAAUGUCUUCUUUGAAUCAAGUGGAGCUCCCGCUAGAGGUUGCAACACCAUCAAAUUCUGGAAAUCAUACUCACCCGUUAUCUCAGUCAUUAUGUCAUAUCGACGUAAUAAUUUUAUAGAGACAGACGAUAUGUUCCUCGAGUUUGAGGACGAUUUAGAUAACAUCGCGGGAGGGUUGUCGUCUGUGGGCGGCAAUACGGGUGAGUCUAAGAAUUUUUUUCAUUUUAACUCACGAUUAUUUCAUGUUCUUUUUUCUAACAUUAUAUGUUAUUAUCGACAUGCGACUCUGACUCAUAGGAGACUUGCGCAGUCUCGACUAUUGGAGUUAGAGCGCCACGUUGCAAUAAAUGGGCGCAUCCUGAUGACGAUUACCCUUGGAGCGGAGAAGCCUAUUUUCCCACACGUCGUUUGCUUCAGCCAAGCGAUAGGCGUGUGCGUCUGAAAGACAUUUUCUGUCCCCCGUCUUAAAUGGGCGGACGUUGGGAGAGAAUACAUUGAGGUCGUCAAGGGCGACCUCUAGGUAAUUAAGUGUACUAUACAUUUAGGGUUUCAUUUAAAACAUAUCCAACUUUAACCAAUCUAAUGUGUUAUGUUUGUAAUGUGUAGCGAUUGUUUCUGCUUGAUUUCAAUGAUCAAGCAAUGAAUAGAUUUGUUGAGCAUCAGAUGCUCACGACCUUUAAAGAGUUUCGAAUCGACUAUCACAGACAUUUCAAAAAGUAAAGCAACCCGGAGGAGGCUCGAGCUAACCCACCAAACGCAUUGGUUGGAUGUCAUGAGGAUUGACACUUCCUCUGCGAUCACUAUAUCAACUGUGCAUUCUAGCUAUUUGUCAUGAUUAACUAUGAUAACAAGUUUUAAUAUGUAUAAGAAAUAAACAAUAUAAUUGUUUAAAUCUAGGACCAAUCAUGGACGAACAAGACUGCUAGACAGAAGCAACCUUACAAUCAUAGUAGCGGGUUCAAGUCGUUUCUACAACGAUAGUACGAGCUCGCUAAGAGAAAAGGGAAGCCGGUCGAUCGUGUGGAGUUGUUUCGGGAAACACAUGUUCGAGCUGGGACGUUCGUGUCGCAGGCCUAGAGGGUAGUCAGCCACUCUCUGAGGAUAAGAUAUGCGAUCAGGUGUUGGGUAGACGACCAGGCUACUCAAAAGGUCAUGGUUGGGGACUCAAGCCGAAGGCCUGCAGAACGGCGAGCGCAAGCAGUUCGUCGACAUCUUGUUCGCAGUCCACAGAAAAAGAGAUUGAAUUACAAGCUAAACUUCAUGAAGUUUUGGAACGGAUUGAAAUACAAGAUAGAAAUCACCAAGUGUUAGCUUCACAAGUGGAAACAAUAAAAAAAAUGAUAGAAGAAUUAACUCGUGCACAACAGGGACCACCACAUGAUCCCUAACUCUACCGUAUGUAUAUAUGUCUAUUAUUCUUAAGUUUUUGCAAUAUAUGAUUAUGUACUAAACUUAGUUAUUUUUAUAUCACUUUUAUAUCCAUACGCACCUCGUUAGGAGACUUUUUGCUAUGUUUGUGUUUUCUUGUAUUAUGAGAACUAUAUUUUUUGUAUUAAACUUACUAAUAUUUUGUGAACUUAUUCGUAUUAUUAAUUUUAAAUCUUAUUUUUAAUUUGUGUAUGUAUAUUUCUUAAUUUGUUUUAAUUUAAUCCAAAACGUCGGGAAAAAUAUUUGAGCAAUCCGAAUAUCGUUGUGAAUGUUUGAGCAAAAUAUUUGUGGAGAAAAAAUAGAAAUGAAAUAUUAAAAAAAAUAUAUAUAAAAAGGAAUUCCUGACGCAAUAAAACGUUGGAAAGAAAACGUCGAAAAAGAGGCAUUUCCGACGCCGCGAGUGCGUCGACAUAAGGUCUGUCGGGAAAGAGGUAUUCCCGUCGCCACCUUUGUCGACGCUUUUUAGACGUUGGGAGAGGUUUUCCCGAUGUCGUACCAACACGGCGUCGGGAAAGCCUCUCUCGACGCGGUUCUUCCAAUGUUCUUUCCGACGCUGUGACGUACGUUGACAUAUCCUUUUCCGACGUAUUUUUCAUUUUUGUCGACAUUUUUUAGCGUCGGGAGUAUCUCCGUCUCUUGUAGUAAUGGUAUGUGAGUUUUGGAUUAAAGAACUCUUUCCAUUUGUUGGAGAUUCAAUUUGACUAAGUGUUGAGAUAGUAUAGUAAGAGUGAGAUUUGCCUACUAGAUUAAGUUUUUAUUUGAGGGAUGAGGUGAAUUGUCGUGGACAUGAGCAUAGGAAAAAACGUUUGGCUACAUAAAUGAAAUUGGUAACAGACACAUGGAGUUAUAGAUGACACAAAAUGAAAAGUUAGUAUACGAGAGUUUUGGAAUAAAGUUUGGCAUUGGGCUUCAAGUUUUGCAUAAAAUAAGUUCUGGCUAUUGUUUGGAGAAAGGAUUAUCAAAUUGGAUUAAGUAUUGAGAUAAUGAAGUAAAAGUGUGAUUAUCCAAUUGGAUUAAGUUUUUAUUUAAGGGAUGUGUUCCAUUGUCGAAAUGGAUACAAGAAAAAAAAAAGUGUUGCUAUACCAAUGAAAUUGAGAAAAAACACAUUGAGGACAAUAGACGACCCAAAAAGAAAAGUAUGGAUUGAGGUGUGACAUUGAACUUCAAGUCUUAGAUUAAAAAACUCUUGCAAUUGUUUGGAUAAAAGAUUGUCAAAUUGGAUUAAGAGAUAUUGCACCAAAGGUUAGACUAGCCUACUGUAUUAAGUUUUAAUUUAUGGAAUGAGAUCAUUUGCUUUGGAUAUGGUUAUAGAAAAAAAUGUUUGGACUAUGAAAUUGGAAACAAACACAUGGGUGAGUUUAGACGACACAAAAAGGAAAUUUUGGAUAUGAGAGAUUUUGAUCGGUGUGUGGCAUGAGACUACAAAUUUGGGAUUAAAAAACUCUUGUCAUUCUUUGGAGAAAGGAUUUGAGUCGAGUGUUAGAGAGUGCUCUAAAAGUGAUUAGACUAUUAGAUCAAGAUUUAUUUAAGGAAUGAGGUGAUUUGUCGUAGAGAUGGAUAUAGGACUUCAAGUUUUGGACUAAAGACACAUGAAAAACUAUAAACGACACAUAAAGAAAAGUAUGAAUAUACGAGUUUUUAUUGAAGUAUGGGAUUGAACUUCAUGUGUUUGUAGAAAGGAUUAUUAAAUUCGGUAAGUGUUAGGGUAGUGUACUAUAAGUUAGUUUAGGCUAUAUGAUCUUUGAAUUAAAGAAUGUUUGCCAUUAUUUGUCGAAAGAAUUAUAAAAUUGGAUUAGGUGUUGAGAUAAUGUACUAGGAGUGAGAUUAGUCUACUACUCGAUUAAGGCUUUAUUUGAGAGAUUAGGUUUUUUUUUCUUGUGGACAUGGGUAUAGGAAAAAACAUUUGGCUAUACAAAUGAAAUUGGAAAAAGACACGUGAAGGACUAUAGACAACACAAAAAGAAAAGUUAGCAUAUGAGAGUUUUGGAUUGAAGCGUGACGUUUUACUUUAACUUUUGGAUUGAAGAAAUUUUGUAAUCUUUUAACAAAAGGAUUAUCAAAUUGGAUUAGUAUUGAGAGUGAGAUUAGCUAUAAUUGGAAUAAGUUUUAAUUUGAGGGAUUAGAUUUUUUGUCGUGGACAUGGAUAUAGACAAAAACAUUUGGCUAUACAAAUGAAAUUGGAAAAAGACACGUGGAGGACUAAACAACACAAAAAGAAAAGUUAGCAUAUAAGAGUUUUGGAUUGAUGCGUGACAUUUUACUUGUAGUUUUGGAUUAAAGAACUUUUGGAUUAACGAACUUUUGUCAUCCUUUAACAAAAGAAUUAUCAAUUUGGAUUAGUCAUGGAAUGAUUAUAUGAAAAAAAAAGUCAGUGAUAACGUGUAAUUGGUAAAAAGACACAUGGAGGAUUGUGAACGACACAUGAAAAAAUGUAAAUAUAUUCGAGUUUUGGAUUUGCAGUGUGGCAAUUUGCUCAGUUUUGGAGUAGAGAACUCUUGCCAACAUUUGGAAAAAGGAUUAUUCAAUUUGUUUAAUUAUUGAGAUAGUGUACUAAGAGUGAGAUUGGCCAAUUGGAUCAAGUUUUGUUAAAGGGAUGUGUGGACUGUGGACUGUGGCAUUGACAUUUAACUUAAAGCUCUUAGGGAAGAGUGGUAUCGCAUUAAUUCCUAGGUCUUCACGAUAUCGCUUAAUUUCGAUUCAACCACCAGCAUCUUACUUAUCUCUUCUUCAUCGCAGUGAUCUCUAGAUCGAUCAGCUCCAAUCUUUCCUCGAUUCACGCCUGUACCAUUAUUUCUCUAAUAAUCGUGGCUCUGAUACCAAAAAUGAUGGAACUCUACUUUGUAAUAGCAAUUCUCUUUAUUUCAAUAUGAAUACAGGGAAUGAAUCGAUUGAAUGUCAAUUCAUUGAUACAACUUCUGUUCAUCUCUUCUCUGGAUUCAACAGCCAAACUAAACAUGAAAUUUCAUAAUCCCCUUUCCCGCCUAACAACCUGUAUUUAUACUACCCAACUCACCGACCUAAUUGCCCCCCCCCCCCCCCCCCCCCCCAACUCACACUCCUCACACGUGCGUUUUACUCUUCCUUCUAUAGACAAGCCUAAUGGGGGGUCUAACAGACUUGAGACGUGAAAAAGAAAAAAGAAAAAGCUAGGAUAUUAGAUGAAUUAUUACAGGCAACCAUAUUUACAAUAAUUAGUUUAAAGUCCAGUUAUCUUCGAAUUCGAGUGUAGGUUGUCGAUGUUCAUAAGACAACUUUUUGAACCCUUGGAGGGCAUAUGAAUUCCUCAUGUUGCUGUUUAGGUUGAAGAAUUCCCCAGUGACAUUCCAAUCAGUCGUGAAUGAUAUUCUCCAUCUGUAUUUACGCAAAUUCGUUUUGGUUUUCUUUGAUGACAUCUUAUUAUAUAGCAAGUUGUUGGAGGAACAUUUGCACCAAUUGGCAAUGGUAUUGGAAACUCUAGUAGCUCAUCAACUGGUGGCGAAUUUUAAAAAAUGCCAACUUGCGGUAAAUAAAAUUGAAUACUUGGGCCACAUUAUCUCUUCAAAGGGGGGUGGCGGCAGAUCCAACUAAAAUAGAAGCUACGGUUAAAUGGGCAGCACCUAAGAACGUUAAGGAACUGCAGGUUUCUUGGGUCUAACGGGGUAUUAUCAGAAGUUUGUUGCGAACUACAGUUCUAUCGCAUUACCCUUGACACAAUUGUUAGAGAAAGGUAUAUUCCAGUAGAAUGACACGACAGAGAAGGCAUUUCAGCAGUUAAAAUCGACAAUGAUGUCAGUUCUGGUGCUAGGUAUUCCUGAUUUUAUGCAAAGUUUUGUGCUGGAAACUGAUGCUUCUGGUGUGGGCAUUAGGGCGGUCCUAAUGCAACAUCAACAACCAGUGGCCUUUUUUAGUCAAUCUUUGCCUAUUACCCAUAGGUUUAAAGCUGUUUAUUGAAUAAGCCUUUUGUGGUGCGUAUGGAUCAUAAAAGUUUGAAAAUUCUUUGUCAGCAACGAGUUAUUGGGGGAGAGUACCAAAGAUGGAUUGCUAAACUAUUUGGGUAUAAUUUUGUGAUCCAAUACAAGAAGGGAUUGGAAAAUAAAGCGGCUAAUGCCUUAUCUAGAUUAUCGUCGGUAUUUGAAUUGGGUCUUCUAAGUGUUAUAGGUAGGCUCAAUCCUUCGAUUUUCAUUGAUAAAGUGGCUGAGAGUGAUUCUCUUAAUCGCAUUUGGUUAUCUUUGAUCAAUGGCCAGCAAGCCCCUAAGGGAUAUUUGCUAUAAGGGAAGGUUCUAUGCCAUCACAGUCGCUUGGUUCUUCCGGAGGACUCACAUACUAUUUCUUUAUUAUUGGCUGAUGUUAGUAGGGAGACAUCAUGAUGCGUUGAAUACAUAUAAGAGGCUAGUAAGGGAGGUCUUUUGUCGCGGUAUGAAAGUACGUAUCCAUACAUAUGUUGCUGAAUGCUCGGUUUGUCAUCAGGCCAAAUAUUUGUAUCGAUUCCAAUCGAACUCCUACAAGCGUUAACCAUUCCAGACCGUGUAUGGAAGGAUAUUAGUAUGGACUUUAUAGAGGGCCUCCUUAAAUCCGAGGGUUAUAAUGCCAUAUUGGUGGUUGUGGACCGUCUUUUCAAGUAUGCACAUCUCAUUCCUUUGAAGUAUCCAUUUAGUGCAAAGUUGUAGCUUCUAUUUUUAUACGUGAGAUUAUUCGUUUGAAUGGAUGGCCCUGAAGUAUUGGAUCAUGACUGCAUUUUCACAAGCUUGUUUUGGAAGAGUUGUUGCGUUUGUUGGGUACUCAGCUGAGACGAAGCACCACUUACCAUCCCCAAACGGAUGGCCAAACCGAAGUUGUUAAUCACGGGGUGGAAACGUAUCUGCGAUGUUUUGCUAUGAACACGUCCAAACAAUGGGCUAAAUGGCUAGCAUGGGCUGAAUUGAGCUAUAACACAACUGUUCAUACAACCACAUUGAUGACCCCCUUUGAGGCUCCUAUGACCCCCUCUAUAUUACUUUAUAUGAAGGGAUCGAGUCCGGUGAAUGAAGUGGACCAUUUGAUGAAUGAAAGAGAUGAAAUUUUGGGAGUAUUGAAGGCCAAUUUGUUGAAAGCACAACAACAAAUGUCAAAUAUGCCAAUGCCUAUGAUGGGAGGUGUAAUUUGAGGUACACGAUCGGGUUUAUGUGAAGUUGCGCCCAACUGAUCGUCCUCUCUAAGCCAUUUUAAGCACCCCAAAUUGGCCUCUAGAUUCAUUGGUCUAUUUAUGAUUGUGGCCCAAAUUGGUCUUGUUGCAUAUCGCUUGGCCCUUCUUAAGGAAUCCCUUAUUCACCCGAUUUUUCAUGUUUUUGUUCCUCGUAAGGCAGUGGGUAUAAACCGACCACGAUUCCCAAUUCCAAAGGAUUUGGCUGCUAAUUUAUCUAUGCACCAGAAAGUCCAACAUGGGAACAUGCCACUCUUAUUUAAAACAAUUUCCUGAAUUUCACCCCGAGGACAAAGUGGCUCUUUGGGGAUAAAAGUGGGAAAAGGAAAGAAUGAUUGACAAUUAGUUAGUAAUUUUCCAACUGUGUAGGCCCUUAGGAAUGUGUUUGUUAGAGUGGGGCCAAGUAUUCUGUUAAUUCUCUUUAGUAUUGCCUAUUUAGGUAUCUAGUAUGGUAGAAGCAGGGUAUCUUUUUGCUUAAUUAUUUUGGUGUAGAUUUCUCAUUUCUCAAAUGCGGAGAGAUUGGGGAGCUCUCAAAUCCUUUCUCGGUUGUUGAUAGAUAAAAUUGAGGUUGAGGCCUAACAACUUCCGCACUGUUUAAACUAAACAGAGAAUCAAAAUACGAACUGCACUUCUUCUUAGACCAAUGGAAUGCAGUUUGACUCGGAGAGCCUCUAAAAAACUUAACCUUUUGGUUGGUUAAAGAAAAAUCAUAGUAGUUAAAGAGGGUGGCUAGAACUCUGAGGGUCUGACCUUUUUGGGUACUCUAUUGUGCCUGAGGGAGGAUUACAUGAGCGGAAGUUGGUGGACGGACUUUUGAAUGUUCGGAGAAAUGGUAUCAAUGCUGUGAUUUUUUUAUUUUUUAUAAUUUUUUGAGAACAUUUUGUUUAAAACCUAGAAUCUUUACUGAAAAUCAGAGAAAGGAGAGGAGAAUUUGAGGAAAAGGAGAAUAUUUCUUAUCUUGCGCUUUGUCUUGAAGGAUCUUUAAACAGGGACAAGCAACAAAUAGCUAUAGCUACUAGCAAACCGCCACACAUGUGGCAUACAGUCAUUGACUUGACAUAUAAGAGCAAGAAUGACAAUCAGAUUUAAACAUUAAGCUCAAUAAGGCAGAGUAGAAACUUUGGCACUCUUACUGUGCUGGCUUAACAUUACUUUAUAUUUAUGCGGGAGCUUUCUCUUUGCUUGAUACAGGGCUGUAAAACUAAGGUUUCCUUGAGGAAACAUAAUUUUCUCCAUCCGAAAAGAACAUAAAGGUCGGUGGAAAAAGCUCUUGAAAACAGAAGAUAAACCUGUUCCAUACUUGAAGGUUGGGUAGAAUAAAUAGUGUGAUGAGGAAGAGUCAGACUGUAAGUUCCUACUUAUAUUAUAGAUGCUCUCAAAUACCUUAGGAAAUGUAGAUAGAAUAUACAAAAAGGUAAGAACCUCAGUUCUAAAGAAAGUUACAUUAAAACUUUCCAAUUACAUACAAAUUCGUCAGACUAUAAUUUGUGAAAUGCCAAAAGAAGCCAAACAGAUUCUCCAUUUCUUCCUUGAAAGAAUGGACCAACAAUUGAUAGGAAAACAUCCAUAUUGAGCUUCUCUUUUUUGUAUUCAACAAUCUGAGCUCUCCAACAAAUAACUGCCCUUUCUUGUGGCUUUGUUGCUCUAGUUAGCCAAAAAUUUAAGUCGGCAUACACAAGCUACAUAAAUGAUUUUCGACGGUAUAUGGGCCAAGAUGAAGAUGAAGCGGCAAGGAUGGAGGAAUGCUCUGUAAGUCCUUUUUAAUCAUAUGUUGUUUCUUAUAAAUCCUACAUUGUUGACCUAGCAGUAGAAAAAGAGACGUAGUCUCAAUAAUUGAUUAAGAGGUCACAAAUUCAAUUUCUGUCGGUCACCAUAGGAAUUAAUUUUACAGUUUUUGGAAUACAUUUGUGAAAAAAUUGUUUUUCAAAAUAAAUUACUUUCGUUACAAGCAUGUUUAAAAAAUUAAUAAUUUUAAUUGUUAUCUGAAAUUGACUUUAAAUUGAUCAAACAAAAUCUUUAAAACAUGUAGCGAGAAACGAAAGGUUGUCAUUAUUAGAAUAACUUUUGAAUGUGAAUGUAAACCGCUCAAUACACAUUUGUUAUUUUAUUCACUUUUUAAAAAGUGUAAGAUAUUAUUUUUUUUAUUAAAAAUAUUUUAAGAAAAUGUUCUUAAACUAGAAGGUACCAAACAUACCCUUUAAAACUUGAGUGGAAGUUCUUGCAAGGUUCUUUCACUGUUUUUUGGUUUUCUUGAUUCCUUAUUCAACAUGUGAAUGAUGGAUAAAUCGUUUGGCAGAAUAUGAAAUAUAAAAAUCCCAAGCUGAUUUAAGUCUUCAGAAACUAGAGCUUAUUCAGUCGAAUAAACUACUGCGGUGUCCGGUGUAGACUCCGCCUCGUGUGAGUUUUCCUAUGAUAAUGGGGAGGGGUUUGAAAAUGGUCGUCACAUAAGAGUUCUUCUAAAAGUUGGGAAGUCGAUCAAUGCCUUCUAAAAGCUGCUUAGGCUGGGAUGAAUUCCCUUAGUUUGAAUAAUUACAUAGAAGUACAAUUACAUAGAAAAUUAGACAAAGUGCUCCAUGUCCAUGGACAAUCAUGGUGCAUGGUUAGCUCCCUUUCAAAUCAAUGCCUUCUCCUAAAACAAAUCCUUUGCUCUCAAAUCAGUGCCAUCUCCUAAAACAAAUCCUUUGUGUUGAUUUUUUUCAAACUAUAACCCUACAUAGAUGCUUUGAUUGCAUUCACCUUUGUUUAAAUGAUUUUGUUUUUAGUUUCAUAUUUUUCAGAAGUAUACAGUUUGAAAUGUCAUGUCAUCUACAACUUUAUUGUUUACGGGUGAUUUACUCUGAGGGAGAACGGAAGUACAAGGACAUCACUCUUGACCUUGUUCGCAAUGAAUUAUUAAAUCUUGCAGAGUAUAAUGUUCAUAUGGUGAAAAGGCUGCGACAGAGUUUGCUAUAUCCCUCCUCCAAACCUUUGUUGUGGAUGAAUCGAGUGUUGCUGCAAAACCUGGAUCUUCAGAAGGUUUCUUAAGAAGAUUGCUAUAAUUACUAUAACAAUGAGAGAUGUGUGUCUGUGUUUUCUUGAUUCCUCAGUUUUUUGCCUUUUUUCUGUAACAAGCUCCUGUACCUUCCAUAACAAACAAAGAAGAUUCUAGUAUUCUUGGAUCUGAAGAUCCAACCGGUUUUCGUGAUCAGGUAAUUUGAUUAUCCUUUAUGAUAUCUCACGAUGUUAUUUUUGUAUCAUCAUUUAAUGAUCUGAGAGCUUUUAUAAGAGACCAGAACUGUUUGAAACUGUAGAUAUUAGUUUUUGGAGUGUGAAUGUCAGGAUUACUUUGUAAGGAUCUAAACUCCAUUAGAGGUAGCUCUCUUAAGAAAGGAGUAAUAUCAAACUUAUAUUAUUGAAUAUAUAAAUUCAGAAAUAUUUCUGCUUCAAA